rnacentral:rRNA from 1 species
CCUACGGGAGGCAGCAGUGAGGAAUAUUGGUCAAUGGGAGAGAGCCUGAACCAGCCAAGCCGCGUGAAGGAAGACGGCCCUAUGGGUUGUAAACCUCUUUUGUCGGAGAAUAAAACCAGGGACGUGUCCCGGACUGCGUGUAUCCGAAGAAAAAGCAUCGGCUAACUCCGUGCCAGCAGCCGCGGUAAUACGGAGGAUACGAGCGUUAUCCGGAUUUAUUGGGUUUAAAGGGAGCGUAGGGGGUUCGUUAAGUCAGCGGUAAAAUUGCGGGGCUCAACCGAAUCGAGCCGUUGAAACUGGCAGCCUUGAGUUCGCGAGAGGUACGCGGAAUGCGUGGUGUAGCGGUGAAAUGCAUAGAUAUCGCGAAGAACUCCGAUUGCGAAGGCAGCGUACCG